GGGUUGUGAGGUUAAGCGACUAAGCGUACACGGUGGAUGCCCUGGCAGUCAGAGGCGAUGAAGGGCGUGCUAAUCUGCGAUAAGCGCCGGUAAGGUGAUAUGAACCGUUAUAACCGGCGAUACCCGAAUGGGGAAACCCAGUGUGACUCGUCACACUAUCAUUAACUGAAUCCAUAGGUUAAUGAGGCGAACCGGGGGAACUGAAACAUCUAAGUACCCCGAGGAAAAGAAAUCAACCGAGAUUCCCCCAGUAGCGGCGAGCGAACGGGGAGGAGCCCAGAGCCUGAAUCAGCAUGUGUGUUAGUGGAAGCGUCUGGAAAGGCGCGCGAUACAGGGUGACAGCCCCGUACACAAAAGCGCAUGUGCUGUGAGCUCGAUGAGUAGGGCGGGACACGUGGUAUCCUGUCUGAAUAUGGGGGGACCAUCCUCCAAGGCUAAAUACUCCUGACUGACCGAUAGUGAACCAGUACCGUGAGGGAAAGGCGAAAAGAACCCCGGCGAGGGGAGUGAAAAAGAACCUGAAACCGUGUACGUACAAGCAGUGGGAGCACCCUUUGGGUGUGACUGCGUACCUUUUGUAUAAUGGGUCAGCGACUUAUAUUCUGUAGCAAGGUUAACCGAAUAGGGGAGCCGGAGGGAAACCGAGUCUUAAUUGGGCGUUAAGUUGCAGGGUAUAGACCCGAAACCCGGUGAUCUAGCCAUGGGCAGGUUGAAGGUUGGGUAACACUAACUGGAGGACCGAACCGACUAAUGUUGAAAAAUUAGCGGAUGACCUGUGGCUGGGGGUGAAAGGCCAAUCAAACCGGGAGAUAGCUGGUUCUCCCCGAAAGCUAUUUAGGUAGCGCCUCGUGAAUUCAUCUCCGGGGGUAGAGCACUGUUUCGGCUAGGGGGCCAUCCCGGCUUACCAACCCGAUGCAAACUGCGAAUACCGGAGAAUGUUAUCACGGGAGACACACGGCGGGUGCUAACGUCCGUCGUGAAGAGGGAAACAACCCAGACCGCCAGCUAAGGUCCCAAAGUCAUGGUUAAGUGGGAAACGAUGUGGGAAGGCCCAGACAGCCAGGAUGUUGGCUUAGAAGCAGCCAUCAUUUAAAGAAAGCGUAAUAGCUCACUGGUCGAGUCGGCCUGCGCGGAAGAUGUAACGGGGCUAAACCAUGCACCGAAGCUGCGGCAGCGACACUGUGUGUUGUUGGGUAGGGGAGCGUUCUGUAAGCCUGCGAAGGUGGCCUGUGAGGGUUGCUGGAGGUAUCAGAAGUGCGAAUGCUGACAUAAGUAACGAUAAAGCGGGUGAAAAGCCCGCUCGCCGGAAGACCAAGGGUUCCUGUCCAACGUUAAUCGGGGCAGGGUGAGUCGACCCCUAAGGCGAGGCCGAAAGGCGUAGUCGAUGGGAAACGGGUUAAUAUUCCCGUACUUGGUGUUACUGCGAAGGGGGGACGGAGAAGGCUAUGUUGGCCGGGCGACGGUUGUCCCGGUUUAAGCGUGUAGGUGUGUGUUCCAGGUAAAUCCGGUUCACUUUAACACUGAGGCGUGACGACGAGGCACUACGGUGCUGAAGCAACAAAUGCCCUGCUUCCAGGAAAAGCCUCUAAGCAUCAGGUAACAUCAAAUCGUACCCCAAACCGACACAGGUGGUCAGGUAGAGAAUACCAAGGCGCUUGAGAGAACUCGGGUGAAGGAACUAGGCAAAAUGGUGCCGUAACUUCGGGAGAAGGCACGCUGACACGUAGGUGAAGUGAUUUACUCAUGGAGCUGAAGUCAGUCGAAGAUACCAGCUGGCUGCAACUGUUUAUUAAAAACACAGCACUGUGCAAACACGAAAGUGGACGUAUACGGUGUGACGCCUGCCCGGUGCCGGAAGGUUAAUUGAUGGGGUCAGCGCAAGCGAAGCUCCUGAUCGAAGCCCCGGUAAACGGCGGCCGUAACUAUAACGGUCCUAAGGUAGCGAAAUUCCUUGUCGGGUAAGUUCCGACCUGCACGAAUGGCGUAAUGAUGGCCAGGCUGUCUCCACCCGAGACUCAGUGAAAUUGAACUCGCUGUGAAGAUGCAGUGUACCCGCGGCAAGACGGAAAGACCCCGUGAACCUUUACUAUAGCUUGACACUGAACAUUGAGCCUUGAUGUGUAGGAUAGGUGGGAGGCUUUGAAGUGUGGACGCCAGUCUGCAUGGAGCCGACCUUGAAAUACCACCCUUUAAUGUUUGAUGUUCUAACGUGGACCCGUUACCCGGGUUGCGGACAGUGUCUGGUGGGUAGUUUGACUGGGGCGGUCUCCUCCUAAAGAGUAACGGAGGAGCACGAAGGUUGGCUAAUCCUGGUCGGACAUCAGGAGGUUAGUGCAAUGGCAUAAGCCAGCUUGACUGCGAGCGUGACGGCGCGAGCAGGUGCGAAAGCAGGUCAUAGUGAUCCGGUGGUUCUGAAUGGAAGGGCCAUCGCUCAACGGAUAAAAGGUACUCCGGGGAUAACAGGCUGAUACCGCCCAAGAGUUCAUAUCGACGGCGGUGUUUGGCACCUCGAUGUCGGCUCAUCACAUCCUGGGGCUGAAGUAGGUCCCAAGGGUAUGGCUGUUCGCCAUUUAAAGUGGUACGCGAGCUGGGUUUAGAACGUCGUGAGACAGUUCGGUCCCUAUCUGCCGUGGGCGCUGGAGAACUGAGGGGGGCUGCUCCUAGUACGAGAGGACCGGAGUGGACGCAUCACUGGUGUUCGGGUUGUCAUGCCAAUGGCACUGCCCGGUAGCUAAAUGCGGAAGAGAUAAGUGCUGAAAGCAUCUAAGCACGAAACUUGCCCCGAGAUGAGUUCUCCCUGAGACUUAGAGUCUCCUGAAGGAACGUUGAAGACGACGACGUUGAUAGGCCGGGUGUGUA
rnacentral:rRNA from 1 species